UACGUAUGGAGCAAGCGUUAUCCGGAUUUACUGGGUGUAAAGGGAGCGUAGGCGGCCUGGCAAGUCUGGUGUGAAAUACCGGGGCCCAACCCCGGGACUGCAUUGGAAACUGCCAGGCUGGAGUGUCGGAGGGGCAGGCGGAAUUCCUAGUGUAGCGGUGAAAUGCGUAGAUAUUAGGAGGAACACCGGUGGCGAAGGCGGCCUGCUGGACGACAACUGACGCUGAGGCUCGAAAGCGUGGGGAGCAAACAGG
rnacentral:rRNA from 1 species